rnacentral:rRNA from 1 species
GACGAACGCUGGCGGCGUGCUUAACACAUGCAAGUCGAGCGGAAAGGCCUGCUUUCCCUUGUGGAUUGCGGGUACUCGAGUGGCGAACGGGUGAGUAACACGUGAGUGAUCUGCCCCCAACUUGGGUAUAAGCCUGGGAAACUGGGUCUAAUUCCCGAUAGGACUGCAGGGUGGUGCCUGUGGUGGAAAACGAUUUUCUAGUGGUUGGGGAUGAGCUCGCGGCCUAUCAGCUUGUUCGUGGGGUAAUGGCCUACCAAUGCGGCGACGGGUAGCCAGCCUGAGAGGGCGGACCGGGAUAGUGGGACUGAGCUGCCACACAGAGUCUGAGGGGAGGCAGAAGCGGCGAAGAGAGGAAGAAGGGCGGAAGCCUGAUGAAUGGACGCAGCGUGGGUGAUGACGGGCUUCGUGUUGUAAACUCCUCUCAGGGUUGAGGAAGCCACCUGGUUGGAAGGGUGGUGACGGUAGUGGCAGAAGAAGCCCCGGCUAACUCCGUG